UACGUAGGGUGCAAGCGUUGUCCGGAAUUAUUGGGCGUAAAGAGCUCGUAGGUGGCCUGUCGCGUCGGCUGUGAAAACUCGGGGCUCAACUCCGAGCUUGCAGUCGAUACGGGCAGGCUAGAGUUCGGCAGGGGAGACUGGAAUUCCUGGUGUAGCGGUGAAAUGCGCAGAUAUCAGGAGGAACACCGGUGGCGAAGGCGGGUCUCUGGGCCGAAACUGACGCUGAGGAGCGAAAGCGUGGGUAGCAAACAGG
rnacentral:rRNA from 1 species